CAGUUCGGAUUGUAGUCUGCAACUCGACUACAUGAAGCUGGAAUCGCUAGUAAUCGCGGAUCAGCACGCCGCGGUGAAUACGUUCCCGGGCCUUGUACACACCGCCCGUCACACCAUGGAAGUCUGCAAUGCCCGAAGCCGGUGGCCUAACCACUUAUGUGGAAGGAGCCGUCUAAGGCAGGGCAGAUGACUGGGGUGAAGUCGUAACAAGGUAGC
rnacentral:rRNA from 1 species